ACGAACGCUGGCGGCAUGCCUAACACAUGCAAGUCGAACGAGACCUUCGGGUCUAGUGGCGCACGGGUGCGUAACGCGUGGGAACCUGCCCUUAGGUUCGGAAUAACUCCCCGAAAGGGGUGCUAAUACCGGAUAAUGUCUUCGGACCAAAGAUUUAUCGCCUUUGGAUGGGCCCGCGUUGGAUUAGCUAGUUGGUAGGGUAAAAGCCUACCAAGGCGACGAUCCAUAGCUGGUCUGAGAGGAUGAUCAGCCACACUGGGACUGAGACACGGCCCAGACUCCUACGGGAGGCAGCAGUGGGGAAUAUUGGACAAUGGGCGAAAGCCUGAUCCAGCAAUGCCGCGUGAGUGAUGAAGGCCUUAGGGUUGUAAAGCUCUUACCCGGGAUGAUAAUGACAGUACCGGGAGAAUAAGCGCCGGCUAACUCCGUG
rnacentral:rRNA from 1 species